AGAGAGAGACAUGCGCGCAUAUCAAUAAGCGGAGGAAAAGAAACUAACAAGGAUUCCCCUAGUAACGGCGAGUGAAGCGGGAAGAGCUCAAAUUUGAAAUCUUAAAGGGUUUCCCUUUACGAAUUGUAGUUUAAAGAAGUGUUUUCUGUUGAGGUUUUGGUAAAAGUUCUUUGGAAUAGGACAUCAUAGAGGGUGAGAAUCCCGUAUUUGACCUUUACUUUCAACUUUGUGAUACACUUUCAAAGAGUCGGAUUGUUUGGGAAUGCAGUCCAAAAUGGGUGGUAAAUUUCAUCUAAAGCUAAAUAUUGGCGAGAGACCGAUAGCGAACAAGUACCGUGAGGGAAAGAUGAAAAGAACUUUGAAAAGAGAGUUAAACAGUACGUGAAAUUGUCAAAAGGGAAGCGUUUGACACCAGUGUUGUUUUUCUGAAAAUCAAUUAAAGAACUGUUUAUGCUAAGUUGUUUAGACUUUUAUCAGCUAACUGUUUAGUUUUGAGCUUUUCUUUAAUGCACUUUUCAGUUAACAAGUCAACAUCAAUUUCUUUUGCUGUAAAAAAGCUUGAGGAAGGUGGCUUGAGAUUCGUCUUAAGUGUUUAUAGCCUCUUGCCUAUGCAGUCGGAGAGAUUGAGGUCUGCAGCGUAGAUCCUUCGGGGCUAAAUGCAUUUGUGCUAAGUUAUAGCAUUUUAUAGACAACUUGUUGACUAUGAUUUGUCUUGUAGCUUACUCGCUUAUGUUAUUUUACCUACGCUUAGGAUGUUGAGCGCAUGUCUCUCUCU
rnacentral:rRNA from 1 species